rnacentral:rRNA from 1 species
GACGAACGCUGGCGGCGUGCCUAAUACAUGCAAGUCGAACGCAUUUUCUUUCACCGUAGCUUGCUACACCGAAAGAAAAUGAGUGGCGAACGGGUGAGUAACACGUUGGUAAACUGCCCAUCAGCGGGGGAUAACACUUGGAAACAGGUGCUAAUACCGCAUAAUUCCAUUUACCGCAUGGUAAAUGGAUGAAAGGCGCUUUUGCGUCACUGAUGGAUGGACCCGCGGUGCAUUAGCUAGUUGGUGGGGUAACGGCCUACCAAGGCUGCGAUGCAUAGCCGACCUGAGAGGGUGAUCGGCCACACUGGGACUGAGACACGGCCCAGACUCCUACGGGAGGCAGCAGUAGGGAAUCUUCGGCAAUGGACGCAAGUCUGACCGAGCAACGCCGCGUGAGUGAAGAAGGUUUUCGGAUUGUAAAACUCUGUUGUUAGAGAAGAACAAGGAUGAGAGUGGAAAGUUCAUCCCUUGACGGUAGCUAACCAGAAAGCCACGGCUAACUACGUG